rnacentral:rRNA from 1 species
UACGGGGGGGGCAAGCGUUGUUCGGAAUUACUGGGCGUAAAGGGCUCGUAGGCGGCCAACUAAGUCAGACGUGAAAUCCCUCGGCUUAACCGGGGAACUGCGUCUGAUACUGGAUGGCUAGAGUUUGGGAGAGGGAUGCGGAAUUCCAGGUGUAGCGGUGAAAUGCGUAGAUAUCUGGAGGAACACCGGUGGCGAAGGCGGCGUUCUGGACUGCAACUGACACUGAAAAACGAAAGCCAGGGGAGCAAACGGG